AUGUCGAGCGGUAGAGAGAAGCUUGCUUCUCUUGAGAGCGGCGGACGGGUGAGUAAUGCCUAGGAAUCUGCCUGGUAGUGGGGGAUAACGUUCGGAAACGGACGCUAAUACCGCAUACGUCCUACGGGAGAAAGCAGGGGACCUUCGGGCCUUGCGCUAUCAGAUGAGCCUAGGUCGGAUUAGCUAGUUGGUGAGGUAAUGGCUCACCAAGGCGACGAUCCGUAACUGGUCUGAGAGGAUGAUCAGUCACACUGGAACUGAGACACGGUCCAGACUCCUACGGGAGGCAGCAGUGGGGAAUAUUGGACAAUGGGCGAAAGCCUGAUCCAGCCAUGCCGCGUGUGUGAAGAAGGUCUUCGGAUUGUAAAGCACUUUAAGUUGGGAGGAAGGGCAGUUACCUAAUACGUGAUUGUUUUGACGUUACCGACAGAAUAAGCACCGGCUAACUCUGUGCCAGCAGCCGCGGUAAUACAGAGGGUGCAAGCGUUAAUCGGAAUUACUGGGCGUAAAGCGCGCGUAGGUGGUUAGUUAAGUUGGAUGUG
rnacentral:rRNA from 1 species